CCCCCGCGCCGCCACCGGAUGGCCUGGGCGCUUCGACGGCGUGAGGCUGCGUGGGGCCGGCCGCCGCCGCCAGGGGGCAGCCGCCGCCCGCGCUUCUGGUCUGAGUUCCCCGGUCGGUCUCGGUCGGGGACGCACGGACCUAGCGCUCUCCCGCUAAAGUGGUGUCGUUAAGCGGAGUCCUGAGCCCACCGGGCAGGCCCUGCGACCAGCAGGGCAAAGGCUCGCCUGCCGUUCCCUGCACCCCCGCCCCCCACCGGGCCCCGGCCUUGGUCUCCAGACCCCUCCCGUACAGAGAACUGCCGCGCUGACCUCCAGGUUCCCAGUCUGACAGCUGCAGGUCACCCUGCCUUCUCUGCAGCUCAUUUGCCCGGACCCAUCUGCAUUACACUUGGGUUCUUAAAAGCCGUUUUUUUCCCGCUCCUUCUUAAUCCUCUCCCUUUCCACCCAGUAUCUGCUCCCACUCCCUCCACAGCCCGAAAUCUGCUGCAGAUGAGCAGCUUCCGGAGGAGAUGCGAAUUUGGGUGGUUCUUUCUAGGCUGUGAAGUUCUUGGGGGAGGAGGGCAGGGAAUUCCCUUAGAGCAAAAUACUAGCAGCACUUUUAAGGGCAAAGAGCUCUUUUUAUUCCAUGGCCUUCGGGGAGCCUGGAGCCCGCUAGAGGCCCGGCUGGUGUGUGACGCUCAUUCACCAAGCUGGUCACUGACGAGACUGAGGAAGUCCUAGACGGAGCAAGAAUGGGCAGAGGCUGAAGGUAGAGGUUUUCUUUUUAUAUAUACAAGACACAUUAAUCCAUUAAAUUUGAGGACACAGUACAAAAAAAAAAAACAAAAAAAAAAACCACUUCAACUAAUUCAUCUGACAAUGCUGUUCAUAUUCAUGACGCCAUUUUUUGUUGUUGUCUUGUUUCCUAAUAAUAAAGGAGGAGACUUAGGGCUGUUGGGCUGAUAUAUAUUUGGGGGUCCCCCCUCCCCACCUCAUCCAUACACCACCAGGGUGAACAGGAGGAGAAGGAAGGCAGGGCCCACAGCAAAGUUUCAUAAUCUUGAAUGCAAGGGGGGAGGAAGAGAGGAAAGGGGGGAGGGAAAGGAGAAAAUACAAAUCCUAUAAUACAUACAACAGAGUGGGGGGUGGGAUGGGAAUGGACAGACAUGAAGCUGAGGCAUGGGGUGGGCUGCUGGGGGUGGGGGGGGGCAGCAGACCCCCCCCCCCCACAUUCCUUUCUUUGAUGCCGUUUCCGUAGUUGCCAGGCUGAGAAGCCCUCUCAGAAGAUGGGACCAGGAGAAGAGGCUCAGGGCCUCAGUUGGCCCCCCAGCUGUAGCUGUUGUAGGCAGACUUGUUGGUCUGGGGCUUCUGCGGGAUGGAGCUGGUCUGGCUACGUUGCCCGCUGCCCGUCUGCAGGGAAUGGGACGAUGAGGAGGAGGAGAAAGGUGUCUAGUUAGUGGGACAGAUCUGUGACAUCUUCACAUGCAGAUCUGGAAACUCUUGCUCUCCCCUUGCUUAGAGAAACUGCUCUGAAGUUUACUUCCAAACCACAGAACAUUUAAUUUCUAUAGCUGCUAGGGUGCCUCGGACAGGGAAGAAAGCAUUUCCAGCCUUUAAACAGGGGAACGAUGACAAGACGGCAGGACCUUUUAGAGACAAGACUGUGAAUGAGUUCUACCCACUUUCCACCCCACCUUCUCCCCUACCCCCACUGCUCUGAGAAAAGGCUACUCUCUCUAGAGAGUUAUGGCCUCUUGGAGAUGAGUGACCACAAGAUGAUUUCAUUUUCGUUGAUCCCAUGAAUACCUCAACUGGGAAGGCUGUCUCUGACAGCAAGGCAGCCCUUACUUAUCCCAGCUCCCCAGCUCCCUGGGAUGCAGGAGAGGUCACCUGUACCAGCCCAUGCCCCCCCGCUCCCCCCAUUGCACAGCGGAGAGCCCAUUUCAGCCAAAAGGCAGGAGAGAGAGUCUGAGGCCCCAGGCUCCAGACGCUGGCCCAAGAAUCCGUUCCGUUCCAGUAACCAAGUGUUUCCAGAGUCGCGGAAGGGCAGAAAGAAAAAGAGGGCACUGGGGAGGGGAGGGCAAGAGAGGAACAGGAGGCCAGAGAGCUCAGCAAGGUGUCUGUGUCUGUGUGUCCUGAUCUGUGACGGUGCAGCUUUUUGUCUUCGAGUUCCCUGAGGCUGUGGAGGUGAAGUGGGGGCCGGGAAGGAGUGGGUUCAAGCACAUCAUCAUUCAGUUUCAUUACCUGCUCCUCCUGCUGGCGCGGGCAACACAGAAUCAUCUGCAAAUAUGGUAGCUGAGGCAGAACCAGGAUAUAUGGAAAAUAAAGGGACAAACUUUGACAAUAGAACUCCACCAUUAGAAGGGAAAGCUACAAUGUUGGGAAGGGGGGAGGCCGGGAGAGGUCAGAGGGUAGGUGUGACCCAGGUCUGAUGGGAUGAGGGCAGCUGUGCUACAGGAGGUAGAGGAGAAAGGCACCGAAGGAACCGGGCGAAGAAGGUUUCAGCCCGGCCCCUUCUCUGACCGCUCCUCUGCCGGCAGCUUGUGUCGUGUGCGCUCGUGUCUGUCUGUGCUGUGUGCCCAUGGCUGGCGCUGGGAGGGGUGGGUGAAGGUGGUGGUGAGGAAGGGUAAGAGAAGGAAAGGGGGGAGUUUCAGGGGACAGGAAGGAAGAGGAAGGGAAAGGAGAGGGGAGAGCUAUUACCUGGCCGUCCUGCUGCAGGUGGUGGUGGAGGAUCUGGGAGUGCGGCUGCUGAUGGGGGGUCAGAAUGUGCAUGAAAGGGGCAGGUGGGUAGGCAGCAGCUGUGGCUGGAUUGAUGGGCCCCCCACUUCCUAGGGCUGAAGGCAAGUUGAAGGAGGCAGCAGGAGUGCCGGAAUGAAAACCUUGUUUCUCGAAGGACUGCUGUCCAGGGGGUGGGGAGAGACAGCAAAAGGGGUCAGCAAACCAAGCCCUGGACUCUCUGAGCCCAAGCCCUCCACCCACUGGGAGCAGCACGCAGCAAAGGAGGCGCACCGCACCUGCACCAGGUGCCCGGGUCUGCCUCCGCUGUGCUCUUUGGGAGCCGUGUGAUCCUGACAAAAGUACUCCCUCUCUGCCUCCGUCCUCUCCUACGUGAAGCAGGGGUGCCGUGGACUCCCUAGCCGUGGGGACCACACGACAGGACGGGUGUGAGGCUGCCCUGUGACUCUACAGUCGCAGACCAUCUGCAGCUGCUCCCCUACUGCCACCCUGGCGCUUGGCCACGAAGCGCUCCGCCAGGACUCCUGAUACUUCACGGUCGCUCCCACUGUGUCUUUACAAAGACUGGAUCGCACCAGCUUCCCUUCAGUCCGUACUCGUCAUCUUGGAAAGUUACAAGAAGGCUGGCGGUGGGCAAAGUCAGGACAGCUGCACAGUAAAUCCCGCAUCACAGCGACCGGCCACACCUCCCCUUCCUGAACACUUCUCUUGCUUGUUCUCAGAGGGCUAACUCCAAACUUCUAGAAAUUGAAAUCUAGAGACCACUCAUUUUCUGGGAUGGGCUUCCUGACAUCUCUCAGGUUGUUCUUGUUCACUGAGCUUCUGUCAUUGCAACGCCACCUCCUCUGCGUCCGUUAAUCUUUCCACCGGUACCUCGAGCAAGGCACCUACCUGGGUCUUGGAGUACACAGAACCCGAGAUAUCUGGCACGCCCGUGUUACUGGAGGUGACUGACACACCUGGGGGAGGAGGAAACAGGAGUUAGCUCAGCUGGCUGCCUGGCCCCCCUCUCGGGGGGAGACGGUGUGCGCAGCCUCUAGCUAGAGCACUGCAGGGGGUCCUGCUGUGUUUCCAGCUCAGGUCAGUCCUGAGAGAUGAGGGUUCAUGCCCCACGUCUGCCCUUUCCAGGUGCGUACUGAGUAUGUAUGUGAGGGGGCGAGUGAGGGGAGCUGCUUUUUGUGGGGCAAGGCUACAGGCAAGCCUCACCAGCAUGUACCUUUCAAGACACUUUUGUGCCAAAGCCCAAAAGAAAUGUAUUAAAUGUUUAACAUCCGUUUCAAAUCAACGCACCCAGAGUCCACUCAGUCCUGCUCCUGGAGACAGGUAGUCUGGGAUCUUCCUGUUCACAAAGAGACACUUUUGGGCUCAGGACUGCAUGCUUUCGCAGCCUAAGGUAAGCACCCAAGGAGCAUUCCAGUCCAACCCCAAGAGCACGGCCCGUUGUCAGUCUUGGCUCACCUGGCCCCCCGUCUCCAAUUCUGGCGCUUCUAGGCCACGUACUUAGGAUUUAAAGAGCCCACACCUCUGAGGUGCAUUUCCAGCUAAGUAACUGAGGCCCAAGCACGGGGAGGUGGGGAGGGUAAGGAAGGGAGUGGAGUAUGUUGUCUCCUCCAGUCCAGGUGGAACACAAAAUCCGACGCUCUCAUCCAUACUCCCAAUGACUUGUGUUCCCCGGGUAAAAACUCCCUGCCACCAGGGCCACUCCAAGGAAACCAGGACAGCAUAUUCCUCAUCUCGAUUUCUAGUCCUUAAACUGAAAUACACACUGUACCCUGGGGUAUGGGGCAAUGGAUCGAGAAAAAGCCACCAGAUGAAAUAAUCCAGCGUCUUACUAAACAAAUUUUCUGCAAAGAUUUGAGGAAAAGCAAUUCAAAAUUAACUCAGCAUUUAAAACACACUUAAGAUAUAUUCGAUCUCAUCUCAUGAGAUAAAAUGAAACUUCCGAAAAACUGCAUUUCAGCCUGUGUCCCUGGAUCCUUCUCCUGCUGUUCGAGGCCCUCGGAUGCAAGAGCUUCUCAGAAGCACCGUGCCAAAGUGACCAAAUCACAGGUCCCCCCACAACGCAAGAGCAAUUCCCCCGUCAAAGUCCAGAACCCAAAUCCUCCCAAUGCCUAGGAUGCAGGCAGCCUCCCAAGGUGGAGUCCACCUUGGACAACCACUUCAGGAUCUUCCCGGUACGUGUGGUGUCUUCACCUGGAAGCCCCGCCCAGAGCGCAAACCCAGAUCGCUCCAAGAAGGUGCCGAAGAAAAAUCGCACAACCGCAGAAACAGCACGGAAAACACCGCCCUUCUCAGGCAGGAAUUCUCCCCUCAAGGGCCCUGAAGCAGAAGAAGGGAUGAUACAGGGACUAACGGGGUAGUGCCUUCCCUUCCCUUCUCAAACCCCAGGUGCCCGUGUGCCAGUCACCGGUGGUGGACCUGACUUUAAGCACAGUUCAUCUGCUACAGCACCGAGGAGGUUUGUGCGGAGGGCCGACAGUGAGGUGGGACGGACGGGAUACAAACGUUUUGGAGGGAAACGAGAGACGAUGAUUGAUGUUUACUGCAAAGGUUCUAACGCCUUGUGGACACCCUGGGCCACCCCACGCAGGACAGGACAGAUGGCUAACUGGUUUCUCGAGCUGGGUGGUGGGGAGCAAUUUAGCUCCGGAGUGCCCCUGCCACACACACCUGGGCUCGGUCUUCCCAGAGGCUGGACCAGCUAAAAUCCAGCUUCUAGUCCUGAGGCCGUGGUCCGGGUGUUGGGCGAAAGGACUGGAGACGCAGGACACGAGAGAACACCGCAGCAGCCCUAACAGCCUGUGUGAGCACUAGAGGCCCUAGACGUGACCUGUGUGGCUGCCCCACUUCCCCUGCACCUGCGACAAGAAAGCUCCUCAGACUAGAGUUCUCUGGCUUUCCAACAGUCAGCGCCCCGCCUAUCCCCGCCCUCCCCCGCUCCCAAGCAGCUACGAGCACACUGACAGGAGGUGGACAGCAGGGAGGAGAAACGACAACCGAUGCCUCCCAGCAUGGCAGCCCCGGAGGGCUGGGGACAAAUACAGAGAAAGUGGAGCAUCCAGGUUUGCACUUAACGAAGGAUGAUGCUCUCGCCGGACGAGUUAACUCUGUAAACAAAGGGGCGACGGUGUGCCAGCAGCUGGAUCGAGUGGGGAGAGCUCCCGUCGUCACAGAGAAGUGGAACGAAACCUCUCCCGCACGUCCUUAGCUACACCCACAAGUGCAAAGCAACGAGUAGUCCACAACCCCCGAGCAGUCUCGAGGGACUGAGAACAGUGCUGCAGGCCAGCACGGUUGUCACAGCCGGGGUCAUCAACUAGCUGGUCACUAAGACCCAAUCAGCUCUCAAGCAGCCAUCCGGCCCGGGGCCUUGGAAGCCACUUCCCUCAACCAACUCCAAACGCCACCUCUUUCUGCCUUUCACCAUGACAUGACACUCCAAGCUGUUUUCGUCCCUUCCCUCUGCUUCCGUCAGAGGCACAGGAAAGACCUGGGUGGAAAGUGAAGCGCUGUACUAGGCAUGGGGAAUCAGGGAUUUCCGGCAAACCACUUUGUUUACCAUUCAAUCAAAGGGCCGAAAACGGACGCUGCCUCCCCCUCUCCCACUUGACAAAAUCACCGCGCCGAGAAGGCAACAGUUCUCCAUCCUUUGGCUACGCUGGGCUUUGAUUGAGAAGGCCCCCCUCCACCCUUCGUCCACAGCACGACAUUGGCUCCUAGUGUCCAGAAAGACAUGCACGGAAAGAACGCCAGAGUUAGCUAAAGAAAUACCACAGUUUAUUGAAGACUACAAAUAUUUUGUUACAAGGUGAAACUACAUCCUUCCAGAAAUCAAGAGCAACGGCAGGUGUGUGCAUUGAUGCUUCGGAGGCGCUGCACCGCUUGGACUCGGAAUGGGUAAGACAGGGUCAGACACGUGGGGGAGAGGGAAACGGGGGCAGGGCAAGUUCAAAGCCCAGAAGGUAUCCACCAACUCAUUUCCCCAAGCCACGCAGGCCAUGGCCUCAGCUCGGCAGGCUCUCCUCAGCGGUCUGGUUUCUGAAACAAGACUUCAGUGCAAAUUUACACACACACAUAAAACACAGCCCCCAGCCUUGGGCCAAAUUAGCUCUCUGCCGUCCAGAAAUGCUUGUAAGGGGGUGGAUAUUUUCUUCCUAAAAGGAAUCAAAUACAUAAAAAUAAAUGAAUUUAGAGGUUGAUGAGGCACGGGAUGACAAGAGCCCUCCGUGGGGUUGGGAACUGGGGCUUCUCAAAAGACUGUUACAGCGGAUUUCUGAACUCUUUAAGGUAGAUAAGAGCCUUGGAUUUCCAGAAUCAGGUAAUGCCAUUCUCUUUUAUUAUCAAUCACCUACCUCUUAAAAUUCUUGAACCUGGUCCAGCUAAAACCUAAAUCUAACGUUCUCAGAAUGGGGCCGCGCCAAGUCAGAAAGCUGACGUCCCCACCAAGGAUUAGGGUGCACCUUGCCCGGUGAGAGGGGCAGCCACGAGGAGCGGGGCAUCUCAGGAUUUCUCCAGGUUGAAUCCGGACUCACUCCAAGUGCUCCAACAGUUCAAAGCUCCAUCUGGUUAUUAGUUCCCAGACCUACUGCCCUCUGUGCUCAGCUCAGAGUUCCCCGAUGAUUGAAACCCUCGGGCAACUGACCCACCUGGGGCCCACACAGUGGUGAAGAACGCAGAUGCAGCCCCCUCCAAACCACCAUGACACCACACGUGAGCUUAGAAUUUUGAAGAGCCCUCAAUCCCAACUCUUUCAACUGCAAAAUCCUCCUCCCCACAUUCAUCUACAAGUCACUGAAAAAAGCCGAUGGAACUGUCCUCCACAAGUGGGGUACAGGCCUCACUAGAGGAGCAGGGGACGGACUAGUUACCUUUCAGGUCAGUUCCUACAUCUCGGCCCUGCCAUCAGAUAUGCAGACUUUGCCAAGAGACCAGCCAUACAAACGAAGGACCCUCUCCCUCUGUUGAGCUCUCGCACCCCACACCUUUCUCUCCAUACCCUAGGGCUCCCAGCUAGGGAACGAAAAGGGGCUGUGUGAGAAAAGCAGGUUUAAGUGCCACCGAAAGGUUUAAGCCCAACCCACCGGGGCACACUGGCUAAGAACCCACCCAACGCUGCUGGGCAGUGACUCUCCUUGAGAACUACCGGGACCAGACGUUCUCACGCCUGUCCCCACCGACAGCACAGUAACGUCUUGGGGCCCCUUGUCCUGCGUCCCACCCGAAGCUUAGGCCAGCCAACAUAUUCUGACAGCCAGUGCCGGCCCCGGGGCACUGCCAUCGUGAGGGCUGGACACAUGUUCUGACACCAAGCACGUCUGCUGGUGCCGCUCGGACACCCAUGUCGGUCAAACGUGGACAACCCUACAUACAGAUGCUAGCACGCACACCUCGCCAACCCUGUUCUCUCAAGCACAUCCUCCUCCCCCAAAACUCCUUUAGUCACAUCCUGCAGAAACCACGGACAGCUGGGGUCAAGGGGUGCUUACCAGUGUUGUAUCCGUGAGACCCAUAUCCACUUGGCUGUUGGAAAGGGGUGGCUGAUGCGUUCACACUGACAUUCACACCAUGCUGCUUGGAAGAGGUAGGAGCCACCUGGAGAGCAACAGGGCCAGAAGGGAGGUGAGAUAGUGACAGAGAACCGUCACCAACCUGUCCCCGGAACUAGGCACUCAGAUGGCUAUGGUCUUCAGGCAAGCUGACCACAGUCUGCUUAGUAAAAUGGGUUCCCUACGGAGCUUUAGAAAAUCUACCAGUGAAGUCAAGAAACGGUAGUUUGAAGGAAGGGCAAGUGCCAAGUGGCAGGAGGGAAUGAAUGACAGUCUAGGGUCCAAAGCUGGACUGUAUCAUCUCCCCUCUUUAGAGAACUCUAAGAACAGGUCAUCUCUAUCCCAGUACCUCCAAUUCCAGCCCCCACCUCUCCCAGGACAGAGGAGAAUGGUUUUUCCUCAUCCAUUAUUAAAAAAUCAUUUAGCCAUGAAGGCAGCUAGGAUAGGGUCCAGGGGCUGGGCUUCUUCACCAAAAGGAAGCCAAACCCAGGUACUCACAGGGAACACAGCAGGCCCAUACUGGAAGGUGCUGGGGAGGCCCGGAACCCCUGUGUAGUAUGGCAGGCUGGUGUAACUGUAGCCAGGAGGCAGCGCCGGGUUCAGGAAUGUCUGCUGCGUCGUGUGGUGAGUCUGCGUCUGGUUCUGUUGGGGUUGGGCCAAGGUUGUGGCCGGGGCUGGGGAGGAGGCAUCCCCGCGGCCGAACUUCGUGAGGUCACCUAUGACAGGAGAGAGUAAAUAUACCUGCUGUCUAUUUCACCCCCGACCCCAGCGCACAAUUACUUCUCCUGGUUUCACAGGACUCCAGAAGACCUCGAUUAAAGACUGUUAAAGGUCAAUUCUUUGAAUUACAUUUUCUCUCCGGCUCCAUUUGGCAUUGCUGAGCACACACUCCGCACUGUGCUAGUCAAGCCUGAUGUCAAAUGCCUGGGCAACGCUGUGGGAGACGGGCUCCCAGAGUAAAGCAUGAUUUCAGCCCCACCCUCCCUGCCUUCCCGCCUUCCCUCCACAAGGAACACUCCAUGCUGCACUCAGCAGACAAGGACAGGUCAAGGAAAAUGAUACGCCAAAGAGGUCAAGCAUAAAAAGAAGGAUCACAGCCUAGUGAGGCAACCAGAUUGCCGCUGUGAGCAGGGAACAGGAGCAGAGACAAGCGGAGGAAGGCCAUUUCAACCCCUGCACUUCCCGGAAAACACUGGAGAAUGGCAGAGAAGCCUGUCAGGGGGUCAUCUGGAACCACCGGGAGACAACAAAGUAGGACGAGAAGGAAAUGUCCGUCUUCAGUAGCAUCCCAAAUCUACCAACCCGGAUUCAUCACAUCUGUUCCAGACCUUCCGCCAAAGGUCUUCAUUAAAGUGAGAACUGGGUCCCUGCUCGCCAUUAACCAGGUUUUUGCCACCAGUCCCAGCACACACUCCUGUCAUCUGCACCCCUCCCCCCCCCCCCCGCAAGCCGUACCAGAGUAGGGGUUGCUGGCCAGGCUACCGUCCCUCCCCGUCAGCGGUGUGGUGGGCGUGGGAAAUGGGAUGCUGUAGUAAUCCUAGAAGAGACAAAGGGCACAGACUGGAUGCCACUCAUCUGCUCAGCGCAAGGUGAGAAGCGGAAUGUUGGGAGCGCUGCAUUUAUCCAGCCGGCGAGCGAGCUGGCUGGAGCUGGUAAGAACUCCCCGUGACUCUUGCACACACUGUCCCCCUCGCCCGGCCACCGGCAGAGUCAGGCGAGGUCUACGGGUGUGCCCACCGGGAAACAGGUCGGGACCAUCGGAACAAUAAUGCUCUCAAACCAUUAGGUGUCGUCCCCAACAGUCCACUGCUACCAAAAAAUAGAUUCUGUUUCUGUAAUUCAAAGUGUCUGACGUGUCAGAAAAAGCAUCCAGAGAGCUCUAGAGUAUUCUGAGCUAUUUUUAAGGUUAAAAUUUGUUUACUUUAAAGAGGUCACAACUGAUGAAAAAAAAAGCUACCUGAGAGCUGACCCACUCCCCCAGUCCCUGAUCUUAAAUCAGGGUUUGCAUCUGGACGUAUAGGUUGGGAAAGAGCUAAUGGGGGGGACUUAUCAACUGAGCACCUGAAACAACCCCCUCAAGGCUGUAAGGUCGCUCUCUCCUCCUGCCCUAAGCACACACUCACCAAGGGGAAUCUCGUCUGAAGCAUCUGUAAGUCAUCGUAACCAUAUACUUGCGGCUGGAAGACACAAGCAUGUAACAGUGUUCACAGGGAUUGGCUACCACAGAAGCCAGCCAAGGUGCCAAGGGACAAAGUCAGUCAACAGAACAUCCAUCCUCAUUCUUAGGAAGAACAGAACAUAGGUUACUUCCGGCAGUUCCCUUUAGGAAGAAAGAAGUGAAGUACAGACUGGGUGAUUUAUGAAAGGUCUCGAAACUUGCCAUGAGCCACAUACCACCGAUCCAACCCAGAGGCAGCGGUGGGGCAACAGGGGCCAGGUAGGAACGGCCGUCAAAUACACAGCUUAAGACUCAUCUCUUUCAGAAAGGAUUCACAUCUUACUUGUUUUCUCUAACGUAUGGGAAGUAAGACGUUAUGCUGUUAAAAAAUGUGCAAACCAUUAUUGAACGUUUCCUGUGUAUGAUGCUCGCUUAGACACUUUCUGAGAGGCCAGAACGGGUGUCUUUUUAAACAUUUCAAAUAAAUAGCCUUUACCUUAAUUGGCACCAAAUCUAUGAAUUUGACAGAAGAUACACCGGGACACAAAGCUACCACUUGUCAAACCACCUACUCUCCAGCAGUCCCAGAUCAGGUCAGGGAGCUCUGUUCUUCCCAGGUCACAGCCAGCUGAGAACCUCACAGACAGGGACUCAAUCCUACCCAAGAAAAUAAUUCUCUGAAACUGAAAGGGAUUCCAGGUGGGCACUCUGGCCUUUAGCUUCCGAAGCCUAGAAUUUGUUUCACACAGAGAAAAUAGACAAUAGGAGGAGUGGCCUCCGUUCAGUCCUUCCCCUCUAGAAAUGACGAUUUUUGCCCCAAACUACGAAGAUCAAAAACUGGUUUGCUUACAUGCGACAACCACUCAUUUAUUCUCUAUUUUAAUUACAGUCUUCCACCCGAAGCCGGAGCUGUAAAGAGUAGCCACACCGUCUUCAUCUUUUGCAGAAGCUGCUUCAGCCUCACUUACCGGGUAGGCGUGUAACAGCCCUGGAGCCAUGAUGUACGGAUUAGGCAACAACGGCGGGACCCCAGGAGGGAGGUUGGGAGGAGCUUUUCCUAAAAGAGAGAUCCCAUUUUUACCCCGUCACACGAUCACUCCUCUCCUCCAUCCCAGAGGAAUGCCGUCCACCUUCUACCUGAAGUCGUAGCGACCGAGCUCCGAGUCGAGGCUGUGACGGUGGAGUUGCUGCUGAGGCUGAGGCCUAAGCUGCUGCCGCUGUGGAGACUGGAGGAGACACUGACCACUGGGGGAGGUGCAGAGACCGUGCUGGACGUGGUGGAGAAAGUGCUGGAGGAAGAAUGGAGGUUCGCCUCACUGUCCACGCUUGUGUGC